rnacentral:rRNA from 1 species
GUACUCCGGGGAUAACAGGCUGAUACCGCCCAAGAGUUCAUAUCGACGGCGGUGUUUGGCACCUCGAUGUCGGCUCAUCACAUCCUGGGGCUGAAGUAGGUCCCAAGGGUAUGGCUGUUCGCCAUUUAAAGUGGUACGCGAGCUGGGUUUAGAACGUCGUGAGACAGUUCGGUCCCUAUCUGCCGUGGGCGCUGGAGAACUGAGGGGGGCUGCUCCUAGUACGAGAGGACCGGAGUGGACGCAUCACUGGUGUUCGGGUUGUCAUGCCAAUGGCACUGCCCGGUAGCUAAAUGCGGAAGAGAUAAGUGCUGAAAGCAUCUAAGCACGAAACUUGCCCCGAGAUGAGUUCUCCCUGACCCUUUAAGGGUCCUGAAGGAACGUUGAAGACGACGACGUUGAUAGGCCGGGUGUGUAAGCGCAGCGAUGCGUUGAGCUAACCGGUACUAAUGAACCGUGAGGCUUAACC